GCAGUCGAGCGCGGGAAGCGAGCGGAUCCCCUUCGGGGGUGAAGCUCGUGGAACGAGCGGCGGACGGGUGAGUAACACGUGGGCAACCUACCUGUAAGAUCGGAAUAACCCCGGGAAACCGGGGCUAAUGCCGGGUAAUACUUUUCUUCGCAUGAAGGAAAGUUGAAAGAUGGCCUCUGGCUAUCACUUACAGAUGGGCCCGCGGCGCAUUAGCUAGUUGGUGAGGUAACGGCUCACCAAGGCAACGAUGCGUAGCCGACCUGAGAGGGUGAUCGGCCACACUGGGACUGAGACACGGCCCAGACUCCUACGGGAGGCAGCAGUAGGGAAUCUUCCGCAAUGGACGAAAGUCUGACGGAGCAACGCCGCGUGAACGAUGAAGGUCUUCGGAUCGUAAAGUUCUGUUGUUAGGGAAGAACAAGUGCCGUGCGAAUAGAGCGGCACCUUGACGGUACCUAACGAGGAAGCCCCGGCUAACUACGUGCCAGCAGCCGCGGUAAUACGUAGGGGGCAAGCGUUGUCCGGAAUUAUUGGGCGUAAAGCGCGCGCAGGCGGUUCCUUAAGUCUGAUGUGAAAGCCCACGGCUCAACCGUGGAGGGUCAUUGGAAACUGGGGAACUUGAGGACAGAAGAGGAGAGUGGAA
rnacentral:rRNA from 1 species